ACCUACGGGGGGCAGCAGUGGGGAAUAUUGCACAAUGGGGGAAACCCUGAUGCAGCGACGCCGCGUGAGUGAAGAAGUAUUUCAGUAUGUAAAGCUCUGUCAGCAGGGAAGAAAAUGACGGUACCUGACCAAGAAGCCCCGGCUAACUGCGUGCCAGCAGCCGCGGUAAUACGUAGGGGGCAAGCGUUAUCCGGAUUUACUGGGUGUAAAGGGAGCGUAGACGGCAGGGCAAGUCUGGAGUGAAAGCCCGGGGCCCAACCCCGGGACUGCUCUUGGAACUGCAUGGCUGGAGUACAUGAGGGGCG
rnacentral:rRNA from 1 species